ACCGGGUGUGGUGGCAUGUGCCUGUAGUCCCAGCUACUCGGGAGGCUGAAGUGGGAGGAUCGCUUGAGCCCAUGAGUUCUGGUCUGUAGUGUGCUAUGCCAAUCGAGUGUGCACAGUAAGUUCAGUAAUAUGGUGACCUCCUGGGAGAGGGGGACCACCAGGUUUUCUAAGGAGGGGUGAACCGGCCUAGGUCAGAAACGGAGCAGGUCAGAACUCUCGUGCUGAUCAGUAGUGGGAUCGUGCCUGUAUUGCCACUGCACUCCAGCUUGGGCAACAUAGCGAGACCCCAUCUCUU
ensembl:misc_RNA Metazoa_SRP Metazoan signal recognition particle RNA